UACGUAGGUGGCAAGCGUUAAUCGGAAUUACUGGGCGUAAAGCGUGCGUAGCCGGUUAUGUAAGUCAGAUGUGAAAGCCCCGGGCUCAACCUGGGAAUUGCAUUUGAGACUGCAUAGCUAGGGUGCGGAAGAGGGAAGCGGAAUUUCCGGUGUAGCGGUGAAAUGCGUAGAUAUCGGAAGGAACACCAGUGGCGAAAGCGGCUUCCUGGUCCAGCACCGACGUUCAGGCACGAAAGCGUGGGGAGCAAACAGG
rnacentral:rRNA from 1 species